rnacentral:rRNA from 1 species
AACGAACGCUGGCGGCAUGCCUAACACAUGCAAGUCGAACGAGACCUUCGGGUCUAGUGGCGCACGGGUGCGUAACACGUGGGAAUCUGCCCUUUGCUUCGGAAUAACAGUUAGAAAUGACUGCUAAUACCGGAUGAUGUCGAAAGACCAAAGAUUUAUCGGCAAAGGAUGAGCCCGCGUAGGAUUAGGUAGUUGGUGGGGUAAAGGCCUACCAAGCCGACGAUCCUUAGCUGGUCUGAGAGGAUGAUCAGCCACACUGGGACUGAGACACGGCCCAGACUCCGACGGGAGGCAGCAGUGGGGAAUAUUGGACAAUGAGCGAAAGCCUGAUCCACCAAUGCCGCGUGAGUGAUGAAGGCAUUAGGGUUGUAAAGCUCUUUUACCAGGGAUGAUAAUGACAGGACCUGGAGAAUAAGCUCCGGCUAACUCCGU